rnacentral:lncRNA from 1 species
AUGAAAUUUAACAUUAUCCGAGAAUUAGGUUCCGAAAAUCCAUACCCCUGCCUCUGCCAUGGCUGAACCUGUCUUGGAUGCCAACAAAUCUCUUAUAGAUGCUUUUUUCCCAAUUAUGUGCACACAUCCGACCAACCAAACCAUCACCUUGUUGAUGCUCUUCUAAACGUUGCCCGGUGUCAAUUGAUAAACCGCACCUUGAAUGCUAAAAAUAAACUAGGAUUUGUCCUUGGUACCAUCAAACGCUCCACCACAGACACAGUUGCUGCACUUCUUUGGGAUCGAUGUUACGACAUGAUAAUGUCGUGGUUACUUCAUUCCAUUGAUCGAUCUUUCGCCGGAAGCCUCCUUUAUUGUGAAAUGCCCAAUAACCUAUGGGUUGAACAGGAAACCAGAUUUCAGCAAAGCAACAAGACGAAAAUUUUCAGCCUCAAACAUGACCUUGCCAAUCUUCGCCAAAAACACCAAUCAAUCACUAACUACUAUGGAAAAUUGAAAGAGCUAUGGGAUGAAUCAGCCUCUUUGCAAACAAUUGUUUCAUGUAUCUGCAGAGCAUCCAAAUGCUUAUCUGAAGCCCAAGAAUCCGAUCGUGUCUAUCAAUUUCUCAUAGGUCUAAAUGACAAUUUUCAGCAGCUUCGUUCACAGAUUUUGGCUAUGGACCUGCUUUUGUUGAUCGGGCGAUGUUAUGCUAUAUUACACCAGGAAGAGACACAGCAGCUUCAAAUAGCCUCCUCUCGAUCAAAAAUUUUAGCACUCCUAGCUCGCUUGUCGCAACAGGAGACCUCCCGUCCACUCCAUGUUCAACCAACCGGGACUUCCUCUAUGUGAAGAAUGUAGUAAAUCGGGCCACAAUCGUAACAAAUGUUUUGAAAUCUUGGAAUAUCUAGAUUGGUGGCCAUCCAAAAGCAAACGAAACAUGGCUCAAACACCUUCUCUAACGAUGCAUCAAGUCACGGUCAAUCAAUGCUCCUCCACCAAGAGUGUCGCCCCAAGUCUCUCCACCGAGCAAUACAAUCAAUUAUUGGAACUGUUAAAAUCUCCUCCCAUGGCAUUCGCCGGUACCUCUAGUCGAGACCCAAUUUUAUCCCCAAAUUCUCCCUCUAAU